AAGUUAGAACGUAGAGUAUUAUAACGAUACAAUAACACGAUGUUUCUGGCUUUUUAUAAAGAAUGUUCAUUCUCCACGUGUACAAAAAACAAUGAUUUCUUGCGUUCAAAAAUAGUUUAGUUUUGUAAUUUUUCAAUUGUUGUUAUCGCGAACGAGUCAUCUGCAGUUUUGUGAGAACGAAAUCAGAAGGAGAGUUCGAAGAACAGGACAGCAAAUGUCAGAGAAAGAUGAGGACCUAAACCUCAGCGGGGUAACAAGAAAGCAGCAAGCAGAUGACAGAGAUGAGGACAGAAAAGAAGAUCAAGCAACAGCUCAGAUACACACAGAGACUCAAUUCAGUAUAAAAAGUGAUAAAGACCAAAAAGCUAAGCAAACAUGGGAACUGGAGAUGAAAAGUUUUCUUGCUCAAGCCCUUAACGAGUUCCAUCACCUUCUAAUUUCAAUUACAGAGUCGUCUUCUG